rnacentral:rRNA from 1 species
GACGAACGCUGGCGGCGUGCUUAACACAUGCAAGUCGAACGGAAAGGCCCUGCUUUUGUGGGGUGCUCGAAUGGCGAACGGGUGAGUAACACGUGAGUAACCUGCCCUUGACUUUGGGAUAACUUCAGGAAACUGGGGCUAAUACCGGAUAGGAGCUCCUGCUGCAUGGUGGGGGUUGGAAGGUUUCGGCGGUUGGGGAUGGACUCGCGGCUUAUCAGCUUGUUGGUGGGGUAGUGGCUUACCAAGGCUUUGACGGGUAGCCGGCCUGAGAGGGUGACCGGCCACAUUGGGACUGAGAUACGGCCCAGACUCCUACGGGAGGCAGCAGUGGGGAAUAUUGCACAAUGGGCGGAAGCCUGAUGCAGCAACGCCGCGUGCGGGAUGACGGCCUUCGGGUUGUAAACCGCUUUCGCCUGUGACGAAGCGUGAGUGACGGUAAUGGGUAAAGAAGCACCGGCUAACUACGUG